GUAGUUUCCCGCCCUUGGGGGCGAGGGGACGAAUUCCCUGACCCGAGGAGGAUAGGGAUGUGCCUUCGGUCUUUACCCGCGGCUCAGAGGCGAAGCUGAGGGUGGGAUGGAAGUCGAGGUCCCUCAUUUUUCCGAGGGGCGGGCACCGGGAGAGGAGUCAGUGUACAGAAACGGUUCGGGUCGAAAAAAGGCUAAUGGAGUGUGUCCCCCCUCCCAAGACGGGCUCCUUCCCGAUCCGGGCCAGUCUCAGGUCCUUCUUUCUUAUGAUAAUGAGGGGGGGCGAGAGGGCGGGGAGCGGUCCCGGCUGGGUCACUGCGGCUUUCUCUCGCUCUCUCGCUCUCUCCCCUCUUCCCCCUCCCUGUCGCGCUCCCUCUCAGCUCUCCGCUCCCCCCUCCCGCUCUCCCAGAGUAUAUCCCGGCUCCCGGCCGCGGGGAGAGGUUCUCCGCAGAGCAGACAAAGCCCGCAGCCGCGAUGCGGGGAGAGCUUGGUCCUGCGCGCUCUGGGAGCCGGGAUGGGGUGCCGGGUUGGAGGGUGGGACCCCCUGGCAAAAGACGGGGUCCCCUCAUCCCCAAGCGGCAAGCCAUCCUCCCUCAUCCCCUCCCGCCCCCCAGUCUUGGAGAUCUGAGAGGCACCGACUGGGAGGGUGGACCCAUGGGGCCUGCAGCCACUCUGACCAACGCUUCGACCCUCGAGCACCUCUGGCAGCACCAGGGAGGCCAGGUUCCAGGACUCUCUUCUCUGCCAAGGCAGCUUCUUCUUUGUGCCCUUCCCUCCCAUUUCUGCACCCCAGUUUCCGGAGUGCCUGUGGUUGAGGGGGAGAACCCCCUGGCCCCCAGGGAGCAGCCCUGCAGAGCAGAGACCUCAUCCUGAGGAGGUGGGUAAGGAACAAAACGCCUCUUGUGUGCCGGGCUCUGAGCUGAGCUCCCGGCAUCUGCCCUGGGAAGCAUCAGGAUGUCCAAUCUGCCUGUGGGAACCCAGGCUCAGCCAAGAAAAUGGGUGGGAAUCCUGAGGGUGAUGGUGGGGGGAGCCCUGAGCCCUUCUACCCUCCCCCAAAGCUCCCUCUGCUGCCUCGGGGUCCUGGACUAGCUGUCCCCUCCCAGCUUCUGACUAAUUUUUCCUGGUAGUUGUUGAACAUCCUGCCCCCACUGUGCCCAUGCCAGCGACAGCCCACAUCACAUGGGCCACAUCUGGCUCCACUUGAGCACACCCUCCCCUCCUUUGUCCCUUCUCCUCCUCUGCCCAGAGGCCAGAAC
rnacentral:lncRNA from 1 species